rnacentral:misc_RNA from 1 species
AUAUCUAUCAACCAUUUUGUGUCAUACAACUUGGCUUGGAUGUGAGGGUUAUUGCUGGCUUUCGUGGUCUGCUCCCUUUAAAUGCAUUAGUGGAAUCUUCCUGCAGCCGGUCUUUCCGUGUGAUAUACCUUUACGCGGUCUGUACUUGUGGGGAGGCCUGCUUAUAACCGUCCGAAAGGACAAACUUUUACUUAAGA